rnacentral:tRNA from 1 species
AAGGGUGGCAGAACAAUAUGCCUUGGGUUUAAGACCCAAUUAUGAGCUUACCUCCCCUUCC